rnacentral:rRNA from 1 species
GACGAACGCUGGCGGCGUGCCUAAUACAUGCAAGUCGAGCGCUGAAGGGUGGUACUUGUACCAACUGGAUGAGCGGCGGACGGGUGAGUAACGCGUGGCGAAUCUGCCUUUGAGCGUGGGACAACAUUUGGAAACGAAUGCUAAUACCGCAUCAGAACUUUAAACACAAGUUUUAAGGUUGAAAGAUGCAAUUGCAUAACUCAAAGAUGAUCCCGCGUUGUAUUAGCUAGUUGGUGAGGUAAAGGCCCACCAAGGCGAUGGUACAUAGCCGGCCUGGGAGGGUGGUCCGGCCACAUGGGACUGGGACCCGGGCCAAAACCCCUAGGGGGGCCGCAGUAGGGGAACUUCGGACAUGGGCGGAAGUCUGGACGCAGCACGCCGGGGGGGGGAAGAAGGUUCUCCGGUCGGUAAACUCUGUUGGUAGGGGAGAAAGUUGGUGAGGGUGGAAACCUCAUCAAGUGACGGUAACUACACAGAAAGGGACGGCUAACUACGUG